rnacentral:rRNA from 1 species
GAUGAACGCUGGCGGCGUGCCUAAUACAUGCAAGUCGAGCGAACAGAUAAGGAGCUUGCUCCUUUGACGUUAGCGGCGGACGGGUGAGUAACACGUGGGUAACCUACCUAUAAGACUGGAAUAACUCCGGGAAACCGGGGCUAAUGCCGGAUAACAUUUAGAACCGCAUGGUUCUAAAGUGAAAGAUGGUUUUGCUAUCACUUAUAGAUGGACCCGCGCCGUAUUAGCUUGUUGGUAAGGUAACGGCUUACCAAGGCAACGAUACGUAGCCGACCUGAGAGGGUGAUCGGCCACACUGGAACUGAGACACGGUCCAGACUCCUACGGGAGGCAGCAGUAGGGAAUCUUCCGCAAUGGGCGAAAGCCUGACGGAGCAACGCCGCGUGAGUGAUGAAGGUCUUCGGAUCGUAAAACUCUGUUAUUAGGGAAGAACAAAUGUGUAAGUAACUGUGCACGUCUUGACGGUACCUAAUCAGAAAGCCACGGCUAACUACGUG